GAAAGAUGAAAAGAACUUUGAAAAGAGAGUUAAAUAGUACGUGAAAUUGUUGGAAAGGAAACGAUUAAAGUCAGUCAUACCAACGGGAAAUCAACCUUUUUGAGUUUGGUCUUGUGGGUUUGAAGAGUUUCAAAGCCUUCCGAUUUGUGAGAUUGGGAUCUCUUGGUGCACUUUUUCGUACGGUUAGUCAACAUCAGUUUUAAUCAUUAUAAAAUGGUUGAAGGAAUGUAACUUUGAUUUCGAUCGAGGUAUUAUA
rnacentral:rRNA from 1 species